rnacentral:rRNA from 1 species
GACGAACGCUGGCGGCGUGCUUAACACAUGCAAGUCGAACGGAAAGGCCCUGCUUUUGUGGGGUGCUCGAGUGGCGAACGGGUGAGUAACACGUGAGUAACCUGCCCUUGACUUUGGGAUAACUUCAGGAAACUGGGGCUAAUACCGGAUAGGAGCUCCUGCUGCAUGGUGGGGGUUGGAAAGUUUCGGCGGUUGGGGAUGGACUCGCGGCUUAUCAGCUUGUUGGUGGGGUAGUGGCUUACCAAGGCUUUGACGGGUAGCCGGCCUGAGAGGGUGACCGGCCACAUUGGGACUGAGAUACGGCCCAGACUCCUACGGGAGGCAGCAGUGGGGAAUAUUGCACAAUGGGCGGAAGCCUGAUGCAGCAACGCCGCGUGCGGGAUGACGGCCUUUGGGUUGUAAACCGCUUUCGCCUGUGACGAAGCGUGAGUGACGGUAAUGGUAAAGAAGCACC